rnacentral:rRNA from 1 species
GAUGAACGCUGGCGGCGUGCCUAAUACAUGCAAGUCGAGCGAACGGACGAGAAGCUUGCUUCUCUGAUGUUAGCGGCGGACGGGUGAGUAACACGUGGAUAACCUACCUAUAAGACUGGGAUAACUUCGGGAAACCGUAGCUAAUACCGGAUAAUAUUUUGAACCGCAUGGUUCAAAAGUGAAAGACGGUCUUGCUGUCACUUAUAGAUGGAUCCGCGCUGCAUUAGCUAGUUGGUAAGGUAACGGCUUACCAAGGCAACGAUGCAUAGCCGACCUGAGAGGGUGAGCGGCCACAAUGGAACUGAGACAAGGUCCAGACUCCUACGGGAGGCAGCAGUAGGGAAUAUUCAGCAAUGGGAGAAAGCCUGACGGAGAAACGCCGAGUGAGUGAUGAAGAUCUUCGGAUCGUAAAACUCUGUUAUUAGGGAAGAACAUAUGUGUAAGUAACUGUGCAAAUCUUGACGGUACCUAAUCAGAAAGCCACGGCUAACUACGUG